rnacentral:rRNA from 1 species
AACGAACGCUGGCGGCAGGCCUAACACAUGCAAGUCGAGCGGGGGAGCAAUCCCUAGCGGCGGACGGGUUAGUAACGCGUGGGAACAUACCCUUUGGUACGGAAUAGCCUCGGGAAACUGAGAGUAAUACCGUAUGUGCCCUUCGGGGGAAAGAUUUAUCGCCAAAGGAUUGGCCCGCGUUGGAUUAGGUAGUUGGUGGGGUAAUGGCCUACCAAGCCUACGAUCCAUAGCUGGUUUGAGAGGAUGAUCAGCAACACUGGGACUGAGACACGGCCCAGACUCCUACGGGAGGCAGCAGUGGGAAUCUUAGACAAUGGGCGCAAGCCUGAUCUAGCCAUGCCGCGUGAGCGAUGAAGGCCUUAGGGUUGUAAAGCUCUUUCAGAUGGGAAGAUAAUGACGGUACCAUCAGAAGAAGCCCCGGCUAACUCCGUGCCAGCAGCCGCGGUAAUGUAGACGUC